UGACCGUGCAAAGGUAGCAUAAUCAUUUGCCUUAUAAUUGAAGGCUAGUAUGAAUGGUUUAACAAGAGUUUAUCUGUUUCUAUUUAAUUUAAUAGAAUUUCAUUUUUAGGUUAAAAAGCCUAAAUUUAAUUGAUAGACAAGAAGACCCUAUCGAGCUUUAAUUGUAAAUUUGAGGAAUAGCUAUAUUUAAUAUAUAUAGAAUAUCUAAGGCAAAUUUAGUUGGGGCGACUGAGGAACAAUUAAAGCUUCUUUUGUAUACUUUGAUUUAUAAAUUUUGAUCCAUUUUUUAAUGAUUAAAAGAGAAGUUACCGUAGGGAUAACAGCAUAAUCCUUUUUGAGAGUUCAUAUCGAAAAGGGGGUUUGUGACCUCGAUGUCGGAUUAAAAUGUCCUGUAGAUGCAGCUGUCUAUGAGGGUUGGUAUGUUCGACCAUGAAAAUUUUA
rnacentral:rRNA from 1 species